GCCCCAAGGGCCCCUGUAGCCCAAGCCUGUCUCCAGAGGUCAGCCCCUCUCUGGGGUCUCAGCCUUCCUGCCAGAGGCUGAGGAACAGGCUGGCAGACCCCUCCCCACUCAUAUCUUCAGUCUGACUCUUGAAAGUUCCUAAGGCCUCUGGGCCCAAGAACAGAAUAAAUUAAUCCUCUGAUUUAUUCCCAUGAAGAGAAUGUCAAGGAAUGUGACUCUCUCGAUGGAAUUCCAGACUGUGGCUCCUGAGGAUAUAGGGGGGAUGGGGUUGGGGGGGGGCACUGGAAUCUCUUCCUAGAGCCCUUCAAAUGACAUCCUGGGUCAUCUCUUUCAUGUCACAAAAGUCCACUCUAUGACAGGCUGUAUGAUGGGUGUAGGGGGCACAGGAGUAAAGACAUGGCUCGUGACCAUAGGAGCUUCCAGAAAGAGGGUACAGGAAGAUCCACCCCACGCUGACCCACGUGGGCCUGCACCCCAGGCCUACAAAGGAGCCUGGCCUGGAGUAGGAGAAUAUACAUAUAGCACCAUGCACACCGACCUCAAAUUCUUCAUGGAACCCGAGUUCAAUGACCUUUUACAUAUGCAUAAACCUGUGUGACACCAACCAGAUCAUGAUGCAAAGCACUUCCACCAUGCUAGAAGUUUCCCUGAAGCUCCCUUGCAGUCAGCGUCCCGCACGGGUAACUGCCAUCCAGCCUCUCUCACUGAAGAUUGGCUCCGCCUGUUCCUGAACUUACUAACGGAAUAACAUGUACUCGUUCUUUGCGCCUGGCUUCUUUCACCCAACGAAACGCCAGAUUCAUCCACGUUGUGGCAUCUAUCGAUGGUUUACAUUGUUGUUGUGGGAUGUGCCAGGGCACAAUGAUACCAUACCUUUUCCAGCCACUCUUCUACGGAGGGACAUUGGGGCUGAUUCCCUUUGGGGCUAUUGUGACCAACCCCCUAGGAACUCCUAGUGCCUUUAGGACACGCGCGUUUAUUUCCCUUGGCUAUGUGCCUAGGAGUGUGCCUGCUAGGUCAGAGGGUGGGCAUAUACUUGUUGUCACAGCUAUUUAGGCGGUAGGUAGAUGGAGUCCCAUUUUACAGAUGGGGAGACGGAGGUUCAGAGAAUUUAAGCAGCUGAUCCAAGCUCGUGCAAUUACCAAGUAGUGAGGACUGGUCUGGAAUCCGGGGGUUGUUCUGACUCCAAAUUCUUUUUCAGGAGAGGUCAGCGUGCCUGCCAAUCUUUCCAGUUCUGCUUUCUAGAACAGGUAAAGGAGGUGCCAGGGUGGAGGGAACCAAAUAGAAGGGGAGAGAAAGGGGUGACUCUGAUGGGCUACUUUGUAAAUGGCUGCUGGGGAUGUCCAGGCUGUCUUCGGAGGGCACAGCUCCACCCCGAGGCAGACACAGAAUAAGUGGGGCGACUGUGGAGUCACAAAGGCAGCCACAGCCCACCCCCUCUGCUCCCCAGUCUCAUUGCCUCCCUCUCCCUCCCCAUCACUCAGCCGCAUGGUAUUCCUUGCUCUUUCCUGAAAAUGCCAAGCAUACCCUGCUUCGCGGCCUUUCCACCUCAGCUCCCUCUUUCAGAACCGGACGACCACAUGGCGCAGCCCCCCCUUGGUUGUGGUCUCUGCUCAGUCACCCAACCUAAGAGAGCGCCCCCAUCGCAGGCUGUCCCCUUUUUUAAACUCUAUCUUAACUCCCAUCUGACCUAA